rnacentral:lncRNA from 1 species
CCAUUUGGAACAGGAACUUCAUUAAACCUGUGAAGGAACCAGCUGCUCCACUAGUGAUAUGAACUCCCUAAAUCUGUGGAGGAACUAUCUGCUUAGCUUUUGACUUAAAAUCCAUUAAAUCUGCAGAGAAACUAACUGCUUCACUUGUGACAUGAACUCCCUAAGAUCCGAGGAGAAACUAGAUAUUCCACUAAUGAAAUGAAUUCCCUGAAAAAUAGAAGAUUAGCUGUUCAACUGUUGACAUGAAUUUCUUUAAACCUCUGGAGGAACUAACUUCUCAACAUGCAUGUGACAUGAACUAAAACCAGGUGCUCCGCAGGGCGCAGCUUUAUACGACCGCAGAGGUCGAACCCUGAACAGUUGGGGCAAGUAUGGACAAAACAUUCAAGCGUGAUACAG